AUUGAACGCUGGCGGCAGGCCUAACACAUGCAAGUCGAACGAGUGGCGGACGGGUGAGUAAUGUCUGGGAAACUGCCUGAUGGAGGGGGAUAAAUACUGGAAACGGUAGCUAAUACCGCAUCCCAUCGGCUGUGCCCAGAUGGGCUUAGCUAGUAGGUGGGGUAAAGGCUCACCUAGGCGACGAUCCCUAGCUGGUCUGAGAGGAUGACCAGCCACACGGGAACUGAUACACGGUCCAGACGCCUACGGGAGGCAGCAGUGGGGAAUGUUGCACAGUGGGCGCAAGCCUGAUGCAGCCAUGCCGCGUGUAUGAAGAAGGCCUUCGGGUUGGAAAGUACGUUCAGCGGUGAGGCGUUACCCGCAGAAGAAGCACCGGCUAACUCCGUGCCAGCAGCCGCGGUAAUAC
rnacentral:rRNA from 1 species